rnacentral:lncRNA from 1 species
AUUUUAGCAGUUCUGCUUCAGCCUGGCCUACCUGUGGAUGGGGGUUGGGAGUGGGGAGGUAGGAGGAGGAAAAUGGCCACUCUAUAAUACUGUGGAUUAUGACUUUUGUUUGGUGAGUCAGUGCUUACUUAUGUCUGCCUAGUCAAACUUGAUCACCACCUGCAAAAUGCUGGCUCCUUUUCAACCCUGAUGACUGGUUGAGGAAAAUUAAAACAGUGAGGCUAAAAUGUAGCCCAUGAUGUUUUUCUCCUAUGCAAACAUGAGUCCCACAUAUGUGAUUCCCAUUUCUCUUAAGGUAGGCCUUCCAUUUUCUUGAACUUUAACUUUACAAGUUAGGAUGUUUAUAUUUUCCCUGGCUUUUUUUUUUUUUUUAGGGCCCCACCCAAGGCAUAUGGAGGUUCUUAUCAUAGGGGUCAAAUUGGAGCUGCAGCUACCAGCCUAUACCACAGCCAUAGCAAUGUGGAACCUCAGCCAAGUCUGCGACCUACGCACAACUCACCCCAAUACCAGAUCCCCAACCCAUUGAGCGAGGCCAGGGAUUGAACCCACAUCCUUAUGGAUACGACAUGGCCUCGCUCAGUGAGUUAAGGAUCCGGCGUUGCCAUGAGCUGUGGUGUAGGUCGCAGACAUGACUCGGAUGCUGCAUUGCUGUGUCUGUGGUGUAGGCAGGCAGCUGUAGCUCUGAUUCGACCCCUAGCCUGGGAACCUCCAUAUGCUGAGGGUACGGCCCUGGAAAAGACAAAAACAAAAAACAAAACAAUGAAAAGAGUAUUUCUAUAUCUGGGCAUAGUAUGUAACUAUUUCAUUAAAGUUUUGUUCAGAAUUUCCCCUGAAAAUAAAAAUGUAACGGACAAGGAGGACAUUGACACAUCUCCAGGGACUUCUCAUUAACAAAAUUUCUGAAAUAUUUACAUUAAACAUUUUAUCUAUACAGAACUAACUCUAGGAAAGGAUAAGUGCCUUUCUUGAUUUGACAGUUUUUCCCAUGUGACUCUUAGAAGAACAACAGAUAAAACAAACCUAAUUCUUGCAGUUCCCGUCGUGGCUCAGUGGUUAACGAAUCCGACUAGAAACCAUGAGGUUGUGGGUUCGGUCCCUGCCCUUGCUCAGUGGGUUAACGAUCCGGCGUUGCCAUGAGCUGUGGUGUAGGUUGCAGAUGUGGCUCGGAUCCUGCCUUUCUGUGGCUCUGGCAUAGGCCGAAGGCUACAGCUCCGAUUAGACCCCUAGUUUGGGAACCUCCAUGUGCCACAGGAGCGGCCCUAGAAAAGGCAAAAAGACAAAAAACAAAAACAAAACCAAAACAACCUAAUUAUUUGUAACAGCUCUAUUUUUAUAAGGUGAAGCCGCAGAUCUUUUGGCUUUCUUGAGGCACACAGAAAUCUCAAAGAUAGUUUAGUGUAAAAUACUGUAAAAAGUUUUAUAUUAUUUGUAUUUAGGAGAUGAUUAGGAGAAUGCAAAAUCGAGAGCUAUUAGGAGAUUUGGGGCUUGAUUAAAAUAGAAUCAUGAGUAUCUGAGAAAUAAUACUUCAUUACUUAUUUAAUCAAAGUAACAAUAAAAAUAAACAUAGAAGAUAAUAUGUUUGCUGAUUCAUAAAUGAGGAGGAACUUUUAUUAUUAUUUUCUUUAGAUAAUCAAGGACAUAAAAAAGUCAGCACAAAGCACAGAAAAUUAUUUUGGUAGGACAGUAUUUCUGCUAUUUAGGCACUCUGUGCAGAAGGUAUAUAAUAGCCUUUCAUGUUGAAGAUAUUAAUCAGUAACCCAAGGAGGCAAGCCCAUCAACACUGAAUGAACUUGGCUAAAAUUUAAAAUGUUUCAUAGCUUCUUUUCAGAACUGGCUAUUAUAAACAAAAGCAAAGAAAAAUUUACUUUCCAAGUUAGGUCCUUCAUUACUGUCUUUCAUAUUCUUGUUCAAACAGGCAUUUUACUUUGAGGUCAGUGUUUCUCUAAGGGGAUCUGUGAAGUCAAAACAAUAUCUGUGGCAAUACUAAGACACUGUUUUAAUGUAUAAUACAUUUAUUAUUGCUAUCUUCAAGGGUGUCAGUAAAUAAAUAUUCAAAAUUCUCAAUUUCCAAUAUGGUAAACAUCAAUAGAUAUAAUCCAUAUAAGAUAAAAGCUCUUUGGAGUCUUCAUAAUUUCUAAGAGUGGAAUGGGGUCAUAAGACCAAAAAGCCCAAGAGCCUGUCCUUUAGUUAAAACUCAGUUUUAUUUCUCUGUCAUUGUUGCUCUCAGCUACUCAUAUUGAUUAUAACUUUUAGCUAAGCUAAUUUCUGUUUCACAGAGAAAAGUUAUGGGGGAGGGUGCCUAAAUUGAGAACUGUCUGCCAUACACCAGCAUUUUAGCAGGCUAGCAGAGCUCUUGGGCACACAUAUAUCCCUUUACACCUUAAAGUGGCAAAAAUUGACGCUUUCAUUAACAUGACCUGGAACUAUAGCCUGUCAGUAUUAAAAUAAAAAGCAAAAUAUAUAAGCUUAAAACUGUGCCUAGUAAUUAAUGUUUCAGUAUCUUAGAUACUUCUAGGAAUCUAAUAAUUUUCAUUUAAUUAAUUUAAUUUAAUAUCAGUUCAAGGUUUUAGGUUACCUAAACAUCUUGAAAAUUACCUUCAAGCUGCCAUCCACAAAAUAGGUGUUGUUGAAAAAAGCUUUUGCCAAAAGAAUGAUUUAGGAGUUCCUGUUGUGGCUCAGCAGGUUAAGAGCCCAGUGUCAUGUCCUUGAGGAUGUGGUUCAAUCCCUGGCCUUGCUCAGAGGGUUAAGGAUCUGGCAUUGCCUCAAGCAGAGGUAUAGGUCACAGAUGCAGUUGGGAUCUGGCAUUACUGGGAUUGCGGUGUAGGCCAGCAGCUGCAGCUCCAAUUCAGUUGCUAGUCUGGGAGUUUAUGAAUGCCACAGGUGUGACCCUAAAAAGAAAAAAAAAAGAUUUAAUUUAUUUGAACAUAGGAAUUUAUAUUUUUCAGAACUGUAAACAUUUUUGUGAUUAAUUUUAGCUUUUUUGGUUAAAGCCAUAACUUUAUUAAAUUUAUUAAAUUAGUCUAAUUUACCAAAGAUUUGCCUAAAUCUUGGGUUCUUCAACAGUCCUGAUUUUGUUUUUCCCAUAUUUUUGUCCUUUUUGGCCAUACCUACAACAUGUGGAAUUUCCCAGGUCAGGGGUUGAACCAGUGCCUCAGCAGCAACUCAAGCUGUAGCAAUGACAGUGCCAGAUCCUUAACCCAUUGAGCCGCAAGGGAGGUCGUCCUGACUUUGUUUCUAUAAGUAUCUUGUUUGUUUGUUUUUUUUGUAAUGUACUUUUAAAAUAUUUGAAAUCCAAUUUUUUUAUUCUCUGAGAAUUAAAGACAAUGAAAAUCCUGGAAAUGGAUGGGGUGAUAUUGCAUGUUGUGAAUGAGCUUGAUACUACUGAAAUGUACAUUUUAAAAUGAUGAAAAUGGCAAGUGAUAUGUUAUAUGUAUUUUACCACUGCU